rnacentral:rRNA from 1 species
CCUACGGGAGGCUGCAGUGGGGAAUAUUGCACAAUGGGGGAAACCCUGAUGCAGCGACGCCGCGUGAGUGAAGAAGGAUUUCGGUAUGUAAAGCUCUAUUAGCAGGGAAGAAAAUGACGGUACCUGACUAAGAAGCCCCGGCUAACUACGUGCCAGCAGCCGCGGUAAUACGUAGGGGGCAAGCGUUAUCCGGAUUUACUGGGUGUAAAGGGCGCGUAGGCGGCAGGGUAAGUCAGAUGUGAAAUCCCAUGGCUUAACCAUGGGACUGCUUUUGAAACUGUGCAGCUGGAGUGCAGGAGGGGUAGGCGGAAUUCCUGGUGUAGCGGUGAAAUGCGUAGAUAUUAGGAGGAACACCAGUGGCGAAGGCGGCUUACUGGACUGUAACUGACGUUGAGGCUCGAAAGCGUGGGGAGCAAACAGGAUUAGAUACCCCGGUAGUC